UACGAAGGGGGCUAGCGUUGCUCGGAAUCACUGGGCGUAAAGGGCGCGUAGGCGGCCAUUCAAGUCGGGGGUGAAAGCCUGUGGCUCAACCACAGAAUUGCCUUCGAUACUGUUUGGCUUGAGUCUGGUAGAGGUUGGUGGAACCGCGAGUGUAGAGGUGAAAUUCGUAGAUAUUCGCAAGAACACCGGUGGCGAAGGCGGCCAACUGGACCAGUACUGACGCUGAGGCGCGAAAGCGUGGGGAGCAAACAGG
rnacentral:rRNA from 1 species